AGAAUGGCAGGAGCUGUGGCUGUGGCUGCAGAACGGCCAUGAGCCUGUGUAAGAAGAAUAACAGCUGCACACUGUUUGCCUUUCCAUCACCUCCUCCUUUGGAAGGAAACAUACGUGACAAGAUCUAAUUUUCCAUUAUUUCUGGAGAUUUCUUCCAACUGGGAAGCAGGCAAGGAUGUCAUUUAGUAGCAGGUCCUGGCUCUGUACCUGAACCUGUUGUAAAGGGCAGUAGACAGCCUUCAGUUCUCCAUGAAUCUGACUAUCUGGGAAGGAGUCUUGCUGCUGUUGUCAUUCACUGUAAAGGAAGAUAUGAUCUCAGAAGUUAGCACUGGCUUCCUGGAGUCCCACAUUCUUGGACCAGGAGUGAGAGACAUCAUGCCUUUUGGGAACUUGUGCCCAUCACCUCCUGUCUUGUCACUGGAUACCUCUGAGAAGAGUCUGGAUCCACCUUCUCUAGCUUCCUCCACAUUCUCAUCAGAAAUCCAAUGUGUAUUCCUGGAUCCCAGCUGGACUAGCAACAGAGGAGAAAGAAGCAACAGCACACCUCGCUGAAGAAAUAGAAUACAGAGCUCUUCCAAGAGGCAAUUAUAUUUUCAUCAGAUCCUGAUAGCAAACUUGUCCCUGUUGUGCUAAAUGCAAUACAAGCAACACUUGGAAGGUAAAGAAAUGACAACUUCCAGUGUUUACAGUAUAAAUUCUGCAAAUAUAUGGCGAUGUGCAGCCAUCAACGGAGCAUCUGGUACAGCAGUGAGAAGCAGACCAGGAGAGUACAAAAUGGUGAUUCCAAAAGCUGAAAUAUCUCCUGGAGUCAAAGGGAGACCUUGUCUGUGAGAGUGAACAUCCUGGCACACACACCAGUAGUAGCUAGGCUACAGUGUCCUCCUUAAAUAGCAUUUCUGCCCUACGUGGACUGUAGGUCUACACCAGUGAAACAAUUUAUAGGAAUUCUGUAGACAAAAGGUAUUACUUCACCCCUAAAAGGAUAGCCGUAAAAGAUGAAGAACAACUUGAAAAUGUUCUACUGGAAAAAUCUACGGAUUUUGCAGAGUCAUUUUACCCUAAUGCUUGUAAGAAUAUAUUUGAAGUCUGUGCAAGAUAAAAAAAGACAUAAUUUGAAAAAUUUUAUUAGAAACAAUGUAUCAUUUUGCAACCACUAGUAGAAUUAAAAAUUUAGCAAACACUUAUUAACAUGUAAGGCAAGUUUGGUGGAACAUACACUAACUGCAAAUAAAAUAUUAAUAAAAUGUUCAUAAAUAUCACAAAAGGAUAUGGCAUUGCAUCUGUCCCUUAAGAGUCGCACAUACAGUAUAGAUAAAGAUGCCCUCUUUUACAGCAGGAUUUUGGGGAACUGCUCGGAUUCCUACUCCAUAAACAUUUUAACAAACACCACUGCACUAUUCUGAGGAACAGAACGUCUUUGAAAACACAGAAACCCAGAGCCUUCCAUAAAACAUUUAUAUAUACCUGUUUUCUUUUUUGCUUUGGUGAUUUUUGGAUUGCUGUUCUUUGUGUUUAUCUAUUUUGUGUUCUGCUAGACCAGAACUUACCUCUUGAGAAAAUGUCCUGUUAGUUUGACUAUCCAAUUUAAUUUGAUUUGUGAUGUUUAUCUUUCAAGUUAUGUGUAAGCAGUUUAAAACAAAGUUAAAAAUCCUCUUUAACUCUAAGCUCAGGUACUGUAGAAGAAAAUGUGUAAUUCUUUACAUAUAUUUUAUACUGGAUUACUAGUAAUAAUACUAUUGCAUUCUCCAGAUACUUCAUGAACAUGGAUGUUUGUUUGACAUGUAAGACUUCCAGAUUAUAUAGGAAGGAACAGUUAAGUUUGCUCAAGGCUAUCAAGCAAAAGGAGUAGAGAAACCAAUAAGUACCUGGGAAUGUAGGAAACCCACAUUCAGAUCCCGGUGAAGAAUCAGGUGGAGGAAAAAGUUGACACAUCCCCAUCAUCCAAAGACUCAGAAUAUGGAGAGACAGAAAGUCCAGCACCUACAGCUGUGCCAAAGCUUAACAGAUGCAACAAAUACAUGUGCACGAGCCUGUGGAGGUUACAAAACAGUGCUCAUGAAAAAGCUGAGGGUAGCUUUAGAGCAUUGUGUGUAAAGGUCAUCUCAGUGAAUGUUCUGAAGGAGAAAUAAAAGAUCACAGUAUCACAGUAUGUUUGGGAUUGGAAGGGACCUCAGAAGACCAUCUAGUCCAAUCCCCCUGCUGGAGCAGGAACGCGUAGGUGAGGUCGCACAGGAACAUGUCCAGGUGGGUUUUGAAUGUCUCCAGAGAAGGAGACUCCACAACCCCCCUGGGCAGCCUGUUCCAGUGUUCUGUCGCACUGAGAAGUUUCUUCUCAAAUUUAAGUGGAACCUCUUGUGUUCCAGCUUGAUCCCAUUACCCCUUGUCCUAUCGUUUGCCACCGAGAAGAGCCUGGUUCCAUCCUUGUGGCACUCACCCUUUAUAUAUUUAUAAACAUUAAUAAGGUCACUCCUCAGUCUUCUCUUCUCCAAACUAAAGAGACCCAGCUCCGUCAGCCUUUCUUCAUAAGGGAGGUGCUCCACUCACUUAAUCAUCUUUGUUGCCCUACG